rnacentral:rRNA from 1 species
GACUACCAGUGUAUCUAAUCCUGUUCGAUACCCACGCUUUCGUGCCUGAGCGUCAGUUGUGCACCGGUAUGCUGCCUUCGCAAUCGGGGUUCUUCGUGAUAUCUAAGCAUUUCACCGCUACACCACGAAUUCCGCCUACCUCAACUGUACUCAAGACUGCCAGUAUCAAUUGCAAUUUUACGGUUGAGCCGCAAACUUUCACAACUGACUUAACAACCCAUCUACGCUCCCUUUAAACCCAAUAAAUCCGGAUAACGCUCGGAUCCUCCGUAUUACCGCGGCUGCUGGCACGGAGUUAGCCGAUCCUUAUUCAUAAAGUACAUGCAAAAAGGCACACGUGCCUCGUUUUAUUCCCAUAUAAAAGAAGUUUACAACCCAUAGGGCAGUCAUCCUUCACGCUACUUGGCUGGUUCAGACUCUCGUCCAUUGACCAAUAUUCCUCACUGCAGCCCCCCGUAGG